rnacentral:rRNA from 1 species
CAUGGCUUUUUGAUAAUAAUUUAAGGUCUAACCUGCCCAAUGAGGGUUUAAAUGGCUGCGGUAUUUUGACCGUACAAAGGUAGCAUAGUAAUUAGUUUUUUAAUUGAGAACUGGAAUGAAGGGUUGAACGAAAAAAAUACUGUCUCAAUUUAAUUUAAAUUAGAAUUUUAUUUUUAAGUAAAAAAGCUUAAAUGAAUUUAAAAGACGAGAAGACCCUAUAGAGUUUUAUAGUUAAUAUUUUAUUGAAUAUUAAAAAGAAUUUAUUUAAAUAAAAUUUUAAUUAUUUGGUUGGGGUGAUUGAAAAAUUUAAUGAACUUUUUUUAUUUAAUUACAUAGAUUUAUGAAUAUUUGAUCCAUAUUUUAUGAUUAAAAGAUUAAAUUACCUUAGGGAUAACAGCGUAAUUUUUUUUUAGAGAUCUUAUCGAAAAAAAAGUUU